AUUGAACGCUGGCGGCAUGAUUUACACAUGCAAGUCGAACGGUAACAGGCCGCAAGGUGCUGACGAGUGGCGAACGGGUGAGUAAUGCAUCGGAACGUGCCCAGUCGUGGGGGAUAACUACUCGAAAGAGUAGCUAAUACCGCAUACGAUCUAUGGAUGAAAGCGGGGGACCGUAAGGCCUCGCGCGAUUGGAGCGGCCGACGUCAGAUUAGGUAGUUGGUGGGGUAAAGGCUCACCAAGCCAACGAUCUGUAGCUGGUCUGAGAGGACGACCAGCCACACUGGGACUGAGACACGGCCCAGACUCCUACGGGAGGCAGCAGUGGGGAAUUUUGGACAAUGGGCGCAAGCCUGAUCCAGCAAUGCCGCGUGCAGGAAGAAGGCCUUCGGGUUGUAAACUGCUUUUGUACGGAACGAAACGGCUCUGGUUAAUACCCGGGGCUAAUGACGGUACCGUAAGAAUAAGCACCGGCUAACUACGUG
rnacentral:rRNA from 1 species